CCCUUAGAUGUUCUGGGCCGCACGCGCGCUACACUGAACAGUUCAACAAGUCUUAACCUUGGCCGAUAGGUCUGGGUAAUCUUUGAACGCUGUUCGUGAUUGGGAUAGACCUUUGCAAUUAUGGGUCUUCAACGAGGAAUUCCUAGUAAACGCAAGUCAUCAGCUUGCGUUGAUUACGUCCCUGCCCUUUGUACACACCGCCCGUCGCACCUACCGAUUGAAUGGUCCGGUGAAAUCUCGGGACGGCGGCUUGGUCGCUUGCGUCCGACUGCUGAAACUUGAUUAAACCAUAUCAUUUAGAGGAAGGUGAAGUCGUAACA
rnacentral:rRNA from 1 species